rnacentral:lncRNA from 1 species
CUUUACGGAUUCCUCACUUCUCUGGCCACAUUUUCCUACAGCUCUCACUGCUCUGGGAGUUUUCAUUGGCACAAGACAGAGAACAGCUGAGCCUGCAGCUUCUAUUGUCACAACUCUUUGACCAGCAGAACCGGAGAAAACUAUACCUGACAGGACUCCUUCCAAAAGAUUCAGCAUCAAUUUCACCCCAGCAUUUUCCCCAGACUACAGAACCAAGUAUUCCUGCUGCAUCUUUACCGUUACACCUAAAGAUACUGUAUGUCUCUGCAAGUCUUCCGGGAAGCCUGGAGCACAUCUUCCUUCCACGAUGCUGCCCAGUUCUUGGCUCUUGAUUCUUGGUGGACACAUGGCUGCCAGCAGCUCCCGGGAUUGCAUGUGCUGAGCUUCAUGGUCCGUGAUACACAGGGAGUCUAUUCCCCUGAGAACUCAAAAGAAAACCCCUAGGAUUGAGAAGUGUUGACGUAAAUUUGGUCGUGGACCCAUCUCUGUGGCCCUGUGGAUAAAAUGGAUGAAAUGUUGUAAUUGGCUUAGCCCACAUCAAUCACCUGCUCCAAUUCUGGAGCCAGAUUGUGACAUCAACUCCUCCAGAGUGAGAAAAUGGUAGGUUCCUUGAACAAUCAUGGUACUGUUGUUG